CCGUCGCCCCCAUCUCUCAGUCCGAGACCCUCCCGAAAUCCUUCACUGACGAUGAGAAUGUCUGUGCACUCAAAGACCACCUCACCUCUGAUCCAGACGACAUCAAGGCGCUCCAAUCGCUACUUGAGAUCAAAGUGAAGACCAAUCUAACGGCGCAUUUCCACGCCAUCAUCACCUCCAUUUCCCUCGCUUUCUCAAGGCAUUGAGCUCUGCACUGCUUUUCCCUCGGUUUCCAUGGCGGAAUUCCCAUCUCUGGCAAUCUAAACCACCAACUCUCAUAUGAAGUGCUUUAGAUCUCCUCUUCAAGGCUAAGGAUCUCAGGUGGAAGGCCGAAGUUGGAGAUAUGGACAUGGAGAUGCGUUUUUGUGGACACAAACGAGAGGAAUGCUUUUUACUGAUGCUGGAUAAUAUGUGAUUUGUUUUGGCAACCAUGGUUUAAGUCUUCCAUUUGGCUAGACCUCGAUGAUUCCGAAAUUAGAAGUUACCCACCCUUUGUCUUUGACAGAAAGAGCUAUGGCUAUUGCUCUUGUUGUGUCCCUAGACACUGACUAUUUCUCCAAGGGCUGUGGCUGGACUUUGGGUUAGUACCUAUCACCUUAGCUACAUGGAGACCUUUUGUUCUGAUAAAUUUGGACAAAGAUGUACCAUUUCAUCAAAAAUCUACUACAAACAAAGUGGAGUAUGAAUGGCUUAGGGAUGGUUCAGAAAUAAU